GAUGUGACGGCUGGAGCUCCCAGAGCUACCCUGGACCAUGAUGUGGCUUGGAGGCUGGGACUCACACAGGACUGAGCAACACGACAUUAACACAUGUGAUGCAGGAAGAGGCUCGAAGAGAGCUUGUCCUUUUAGUUCCUGGAAUCCCAACACCACAGGAAAGAAGCCAGCCUGUUGGAUGAGACUCAUAUGGUCCAGUCACCCGGGAUGCCUUCGCUGACAACAGGCCAAGUGCCUAACAGAUGAAGCCAUCUAACAUCAGAAAAACUGCCCACCCAAAUCAUGAGCUAAAUAAAUGUUUUAGGCCA